GAGGCGGUGCUCUCCUGGCAUCAGCGCUGCGGCUGGAGGCACUGCUGGUGCUCCUGUCUGCUGUCCACUGCCACCUUGGCCUGUUUUUGCCACCCUGGCGCCCCGAACUCUGUGCCGCCGCACCCUUCACCCAGUCUUGGGACGGCUGGCGCUAAGAAUUCAUGCUAUGACCUUCGAUUCAGCCAGGAGGUGACACCAAGCUCGAUCAGAAACUAUGCCACUGGUGAAGAGGUAUAUUGAGCCCUGCGUGGCCCAGUGAGGUUACUAGAGAAUUGGAAGAGUCUCAAAUGAAGACCUACCUGUCACUUACACUGAGGCUUCCUGCCCAGUGGGUUCACCAGCAAGCCAGAAGGAAGCAUCACUGCCAUGGAUGUCCUUGUGAGGCAGUUGUGAAGCCUUGACAGGUUAUCAAACCAAGAGAAGUCCAAAACUCAGCCAAGAAUGGCCACCCAGUCUUCAGCCUCCAUUUGACUUUCCAUCUUGUCCACUGAGGAUAGCAGAGUUAAGUCAGGAAAAGAAAAUGGCUGUCCACAGAGGGAGAAUUGAUCACUGUCUGUUCUUCAAAGAUGCUUUUCUGGCCGUGGUUGGGGCUAUUAGUGCUCACUGCCUGGACAGAGACCUGUUUCAACAGGAGACUUCUUUGGGAUUGAGAAGCUUUCUUUCUACUUAUUGGCUUUCACCCUUGACUUGGCCUUGAAGUUUUGGAAUUUCUAGCUCUCAAGUUUUUUCAGGAGAGCUUUAGAAACAACUUGUCAAGUUUUCACCACAAAUACCAUUGGAGUUACAAUUGGAGUCUCACUGAAUUAUACAGUAAUUUUUGGAGAGCUAUCAUCUUUAUAAUCUUCUCAUACAUGAAUGUGCUUCUCUGCUGCCUUUUGAGCUGCCAGGCACUGUGCUGGGUGAUGGGGAUAUGGAGAUGAAUUAGACACAGUUUCUGCCCUCAAGGAGUUCUCAGUCUAGUGAGAGAGUUCGACUUGUACACAGAUAAUUACAGUAUGGUAUGCUCUACAAUGGAGGUAUGUACAAGAUACUCUGGGGUUCAGAAGAGAAAUCAUUUGACUGAAUCUGGAGAUGCAGAGGUUGGAGGAACUGAUGCUUAAGUUGAUUAUUUUAAAAAGUAAAGGUCAAAUAGGCAGAAAACAGAGGAAGUACCUUCUAAGCAAAGAUAUGAACAUUAGAAAUGGAAUGAUAAAUUGAGGGACUACAAGUAGUUUAUGAGAUUAGGUUGGAAAUGUGGGCUGAGAAUAAAUCCUUAUAUAGUAUGCUGUGAAAUUUGGAUUUCAUUUUGAGUGUUUUAAAAAGGGGAUGCUUUUGAUGGUCACUCUGACAGUAGUAUGGAGUAAGUUAUGGAAAAUUUUCAAAUUUGGAUAGGGAGAUCAGUUAGAUGAUAAAUGAUCAUCUUAGCCAGAAUAAGUGGGAAUGAAGAAGGAAUAACCUUUUAAAUAAGGGGUUAUACAAAACAUGGAUAUAGAAGUUCCCAUUGUGGCGUCAGCAGUAAUGAUCCUGACUAGUAUCCAUGAUAAUGUGGGUUCGAUCCUUGGUCUUGGUCAGCAGGUUAAGGAUCGGGCGUUGCUGUGAGCUGUGGUGUAGGUGGCAGAUGCAGCUUGGAUUCCAAGUUACUGUGACUGUGCGGAGGCUGGCAGCUGCAGCUCCGAUUCAACCCCUAGCCUGGGAACUUCCAUAUGCCGCAGGUGCGGCCC
rnacentral:lncRNA from 1 species